rnacentral:lncRNA from 1 species
ACCAACUCAGGCCUUACCAGAGGCUUGCCUAGCUCAAAGACCCGUCUCGGUUCAACUGCCGGUGCAGCUGGCAACUCAACUUGGCCUAGACAUUCAUCAAGUCCCAUACCUGUUUCUUCCAUUAAUUUCAAUACUUGCUGCUAUCUUUUUAGUGCAUUUUUCCGGUAGAUGCCCGAGGUUGGGGACAGCACCACUGCAAGAUGACUUUCCUUUUCUUUUUUUCCUCUCAUCAGCCUUGACUAACG